rnacentral:rRNA from 1 species
GAUGAACGCUGGCGGCGUGCCUAAUACAUGCAAGUCGUGCGAACAGAUGAGGAGCUUGCUCCUCUGACGUUAGCGGCGGACGGGAGAGUAACACGUGGAUCACCUACCUAUAAGACUGGGAUAACUUCGGGAAACCGGAGCUAAUACCGGAUAAUAUCUUGAACCGCGUGGUUCAAUAGUGAAAGACGGUUUUGAUGUCCCUUAUAGAUGGAUCCGCGCCGCAUUAGCUAGUUGGUAAGGUAACGGCUUACCAUGGCAACGAUGCGUAGGCGACCCGAGAGGGUGAUGCGCCACACUGGAACUGAGACACGAUCCAGACUCCGACGGGAGGCAGCAGGAGGGAAGCGUCCGCAAUGGGCGAAAGCCUGACGGAGCAGCGCCGCGUGAGUGAAGAAGGGCUGCGUAUCGUAAAACUCUGUUAUUAGUGAAGAACAAUUUUGGAAGGAACUAUGCACUUCUUGACGGUACCUAAUCAGAAAGCCACGGCUAACUACGUG